rnacentral:rRNA from 1 species
GUAGGUGGCAAGCGUUGUCCGGGAAUUAUUGGGCGUAAAGCGCGCGCAGGCGGUUCCUUAAGGUCUGAUGUGAAAGCCCACGGGCUCAACCGUGGAGGGUCAUUGGAAACUGGAGAACUUGAGUACAGAAGAGGAAAGCGGAAUUCCACGUGUAGCGGUGAAAUGCGUAGAGAUGUGGAGGAACACCAGUGGCGAAGGCGGCUUUCUGGUCUGUAACUGACGCUGAGGCGCGAAAGCGCGGGGAGCAAACAGGAUUAGAUACCCUGGUAGUCCACGCCGUAAACGAUGAGUGCUAAGUGUUAGGGGGUUUCCGCCCCUUAGUGCUGCAGCUAACGCAUUAAGCACUCCGCCUGGGGAGUACGGCCGCAAAGGCUG